rnacentral:rRNA from 1 species
AUUGAACGCUGGCGGCAUGCUUUACACAUGCAAGUCGAACGGCAGCGCGGGCUUCGGCCUGGCGGCGAGUGGCGAACGGGUGAGUAAUGCAUCGGAACGUGCCCAGUAGUGGGGGAUAGCCCGGCGAAAGCCGGAUUAAUACCGCAUACGACCGGAGGGUGAAAGCGGGGACCGAAAGGCCUCGCGCUCUUGGAGCGGCCGAUGUCGGAUUAGCUAGUUGGUGGGGUAAAGGCUUACCAAGGCGACGAUCCGUAGCUGGUCUGAGAGGACGACCAGCCACACUGGGACUGAGACACGGCCCAGACUCCUACGGGAGGCAGCAGUGGGGAAUUUUGGACAAUGGGGGCAACCCUGAUCCAGCCAUGCCGCGUGCGGGAAGAAGGCCUUCGGGUUGUAAACCGCUUUUGUUCGGGAAGAAAUCCUCUAGGCUAAUACCCCGGGGGGAUGACGGUACCGGAAGAAUAAGCACCGGCUAACUACGUG